rnacentral:rRNA from 1 species
ACUCCUACGGGAGGCAGCAGUGGGGAAUUUUGCGCAAUGGGCGCAAGCCUGACGCAGCAACGCCGCGUGGAGGAUGAAGGUUUUCGGAUUGUAAACUCCUGUCCCGGGGGAAGAAGGCAGUGACGGUACCCUGGGAGGAAGCCCCGGCUAACUCCGUGCCAGCAGCCGCGGUAAUACGGGGGGGGCGAGCGUUGUUCGGAAUAACUGGGCGUAAAGGGCGCGUAGGCGGCCUGGGCAGUCCUGG